rnacentral:sRNA from 1 species
UCUGAGUCCCACCUCUUGGAAAAAUAUAUUCAUUUUGGAGAAAUCUAAGUGUUGAGUUCGCUCUUCACAAGACUAGAUUUCAUCCCUCAACGAUUUUUUCAAGUUCUACCUCUUGGAAAAAUAUAUUCAUUUU